UACGUAGGUGGCGAGCGUUGUCCGGAAUUACUGGGUGUAAAGCGCGCGUAGGCGGUAGCCCAAGUCUGAUGUGAAAGCGCCCGGCUCAACUGGGCGAGGUCAUUGGAAACUGGGCAACUGGAGGACGGUAGAGGCAGGUGGAAUUCCCGGUGUAGUGGUGAAAUGCGUAGAGAUCGGGAGGAACACCCGUGGCGAAGGCGGCCUGCUGGGCCGGUCCUGGACGCUGAUGCGCGAAGGCGUGGGGAGCGAACGGG
rnacentral:rRNA from 1 species